rnacentral:rRNA from 1 species
UACGUAGGGUGCAAGCGUUGUCCGGAAUUAUUGGGCGUAAAGAGCUCGUAGGCGGUUUGUUGCGUCGGCUGUGAAAUCCCGAGGCUCAACCUCGGGCCUGCAGUGGGUACGGGCAGACUAGAGUGCGGUAGGGGAGAUUGGAAUUCCUGGUGUAGCGGUGGAAUGCGCAGAUAUCAGGAGGAACACCAAUGGCGAAGGCAGAUCUCUGGGCCGUAACUGACGCUGAGGAGCGAAAGCAUGGGGGAGCGAACAGG